rnacentral:rRNA from 1 species
GAUGAACGCUGGCGGCGUGCCUAAUACAUGCAAGUAGAACGCUGAAGGAAGGAGCUUGCUCUUUCCGGAUGAGUUGCGAACGGGUGAGUAACGCGUAGGUAACCUGCCUGGUAGCGGGGGAUAACUAUUGGAAACGAUAGCUAAUACCGCAUAACAGUAGAUGUUGCAUGAUAUCUACUUAAAAGGUGCAAUUGCACCACUACCAGAUGGACCUGCGUUGUAUUGGCUAGUUGGUGAGGUAACGGCUCACCAAGGCGACGAUACAUAGCCGACCUGAGAGGGUGAUCGGCCACACUGGGACUGGGACCCGGCCCCGACUCCUACGGGAGGCAGCCGUAGGGAAUCUUCGGCAAUGGACGGAAGUCUGACCGCGCAACGCCGCGUGAGUGAAGAAGGUUUUCGGAUCGUAAAGCUCUGUUGUAAGAGAAGAACGAGUGUGAGAGUGGAAAGUUCACACUGUGACGGUAUCUUACCAGAAAGGGACGGCUAACUACGUG